AUUGAACGCUGGCGGCAUGCCUUACACAUGCAAGUCGAACGGCAGCAUGGAGAGCUUGCUCUCUGAUGGCGAGUGGCGAACGGGUGAGUAAUGCAUCGGAACGUACCGUGUAAUGGGGGAUAACGUAGCGAAAGUUACGCUAAUACCGCAUACGACCUGAGGGUGAAAGCAGGGGAGCGCAAGACCUUGCGUUAUACGAGCGGCCGAUGUCAGAUUAGCUAGUUGGUGAGGUAAAGGCUCACCAAGGCGACGAUCUGUAGCGGGUCUGAGAGGAUGAUCCGCCACACUGGGACUGAGACACGGCCCAGACUCCUACGGGAGGCAGCAGUGGGGAAUUUUGGACAAUGGGGGCAACCCUGAUCCAGCCAUGCCGCGUGAGUGAAGAAGGCCUUCGGGUUGUAAAGCUCUUUCGGCCUGGAAGAAAUCGCACAGGCUAAUACUCUGUGUGGAUGACGGUACCGGCAUAAGAAGCACCGGCUAACUACGUGCCAGCCGCCGCGGUAA
rnacentral:rRNA from 1 species